CCUACGGUGAGCAGCAGUGGGGAAUAUUGCACAAUGGGGGAAACCCUGAUGCAGCGACGCCGCGUGAGUGAAGAAGUAUUUAGGUAUGUAACGCUCUAUCAGCAGGGAAGAAAAUGACGGUACCUGAUUCAGCAGCCCCGGCUAACUACGUGCCAGCAGCAGCGGUAAUACGUAGGGGGCAAGCGUUAUCCGGAUUUACUGGGUGUAAAGGGGGCGUAGACGGCAGCACAAGUCUGGAGUGAAAUGCCGGGGGUUAACCCCGGAACUGCUUUGGAAACUGUGCAGCUAGAGUGCAGGAGAGGUAAGUGGAAUGCCUAGUGUAGCGGUGAAAUGCGUAGAUAUUAGGAGGAACACCAGUGGCGAAGGCGUCUUACUGGACUGUAACUGACGUUGAGGCUCGAAAGCGUGGGGAGCAAACAGGAUUAGAUACCCGGGUAGUC
rnacentral:rRNA from 1 species